CAAUAGCGUAUAUUAAAGUUGUUGCGGUUAAAAAGCUCGUAGUUGGAUUUCGGGGUGGCCUGCCUGGUCCACCGCAAGGUGAGUACUGGUCAGCCGCCCUUCCUCUCGAAAGCCCCGACUGCUCUUCAUUGCAGUGGUCGGGUAGUUCGGGACGUUUACUUUGAAAAAAUUAGAGUGUUCAAGGCAGGCCGUCGCCUGAAUACAUUAGCAUGGAAUAAUGGAAGAGGACCUCGGUCCUAUUUUGUUGGUUUCUAGGGCCGAAGUAAUGAUUAAGAGGGACAGUUGGGGGCAUUCGUAUUUAAUUGUCAGAGGUGAAAUUCUUGGAUUUAUGAAAGACGAACUAGUGCGAAAGCAUUUGCCAAGGAUGUUUUCAUUAA
rnacentral:rRNA from 1 species